rnacentral:tRNA from 1 species
GCUCAGUUGGUUAAGCAGUUUUAGCUCAGGUCAUGAUCUCACAGUUUUGUGGGUUCAAACCCCACACUGGGCU